rnacentral:rRNA from 1 species
AUUGAACGCUAGCGGGAUGCUUUACACAUGCAAGUCGAGCGGAGCGGCGGACGGGUAAGUGAUGCCUAGGAAUCUGCCUGGUAGUGGGGGAUAACGUAAGCUACCGGGAGCUGAUCUCGAAUACUAUCAGAUGCGCCUAUGUCGGAUUAGCUAGUUGGUGGGGUAACGGCCUACCAGGGCGAGUAUCCGUAACUGGUCGGAGAGGAUGAUCAGUCACACGGGAACUGAGACACGGUCCAGACUCCUACGGGAGGAAGCAGUGGGGAAUAUUGAACAAUGGGCGAAAGCCUGAUCCAGCCAUGCCGCGUGUAUGAAGAAGGUCUUCGGAUUGUAAAGAACUUUAAGUUGGGAGGCGUUACCAGCAGAAGAAGCACCGGCGAACUUCGUGCCAGCAGCCGCGGUAAUUC